CAUGUGAAUAUAAUAAGAAGUUUGAUACAAUAGAGUUUCAAAAGGACUACAUUGUUCCCCAACAACAAAAGGAUUAGUUCACCAUAGACAUGGUGAAACUAGAUGGAAUUAAUGAAAGAGAUGAAAGAGUAAACCCUAGAUAUGAUAAUUUGGAGCCUACGCAUCCAAGAAACCGCCUCCAAGGAGUGUAGAAAGUGCUCUGAAAUCUUCCAUUGCCAAAAGAUUAUAAUCCCUAGGGUGUAUAGGUCUUUAAAUAGGACAUAAAAAUAACAGAAAACAGGUCCAAGCCAAAACAGAUAAUUAAAAUCGCAAAAAAUAGGUCCAAGCCCGUGUCCCCGGCGCUUAGCGCCCAAAAUUGGCACUCAGCGCUCUGCGGUACUGGCGCUCAGCGCCCCUGGUAAACGUUUUCAACAUUUUGGUCAACUGGUUGACUGUUCUGGUUGAUUGGUUGAUUUUUCUAUAUUCUGGUUGACUUUUUUGCACUGUAACUCUUUGAUAAUUUAAACCUUCUUUCAAAUCAUUCAAUAAACCUACAAAAUCAAGGGAAACCAAGCAUAAAACCAAUAAAACCAAC
rnacentral:lncRNA from 1 species